UACGUAGGGUGCAAGCGUUGUCCGGAAUUAUUGGGCGUAAAGAGCUCGUAGGCGGUUUGGCAAGUCUGCUGUGAAAACUCGGGGCUUAACUCCGGGCCUGCAGUGGGUACGGGCAGACUAGAGUGCGGUAGGGGAGACUGGAAUUCCUGGUGUAGCGGUGAAAUACGCAGAUAUCAGGAGGAACACCGGUGGCGAAGGCGGGUCUCUGGGCCGUAACUGACGCUCAGGAGCGAAAGCGUGGGGAGCGAACAGG
rnacentral:rRNA from 1 species